GAUGAACGCUGGCGGCGUGCCUAAUACAUGCAAGUCGAGCGAACAGAUAAGGAGCUUGCUCCUUUGACGUUAGCGGCGGACGGGUGAGUAACACGUGGGUAACCUACCUAUAAGACUGGAAUAACUCCGGGAAACCGGGGCUAAUGCCGGAUAACAUUUAGAACCGCAUGGUUCUAAAGUGAAAGAUGGUUUUGCUAUCACUUAUAGAUGGACCCGCGCCGUAUUAGCUAGUUGGUAAGGUAACGGCUUACCAAGGCAACGAUACGUAGCCGACCUGAGAGGUUGAUCGGCCACACUGGAACUGAGACACGGUCCAGACUCCUACGGGAGGCCGCAGUAGGGAAUCUUCCGCAGAGGGCGAAAGCCUGACGGAGCCACGCCGCGUGAGUUAUGAAGGUCUUCGGAUCGUAAAACUCUGUUAUUAGGGAAGAACAAAUGUGUAAGUAACUGUGCACGUCUUGACGGUACCUAAUCAGAAAGCCCCGGCUAACUACGUG
rnacentral:rRNA from 1 species